GUAACGCGUAGGCAACCUGCCCUUAGCAGAGGGAUAGCCAUUGGAAACGAUGAUUAAAACCUCAUAAUGCUGGAGAGUCACAUGUCUUUCAGCCAAAGAUUUAUCGGCUAGGGAUGGGCCUGCGUCUGAUUAACUAGUUGGUGGGGUAACGGCUCACCCAAGGUGACGAUCAGUAGCCGACCUGAGAGGGUGAUCGGCCACAUUGGAACUGAGACACGGUCCAAACUUCUACGGAAGGCAGCAGUAAGGAAUCUUGCACAAUGGGGGAAACCCUGAUGCAGCAACGCCGCGUGAACGAUGAAGGCCUUAGGGUUGUAAAGUUCUGAUCUGGGGGAAGAAGAAAGUGACGGUACCCCAGGAGAAAGCCCCGGCUAAAUACGUGCCAGCCGCCGC
rnacentral:rRNA from 1 species